rnacentral:lncRNA from 1 species
GGGGCGUAUUGUAAUAUAGAAGAAUGUGGGAAAAACCAAUUCUUUCGUUCAUUUAACGAGUACAAGUCACACGUUUGUAGUGUACACAAAGAAAAGCUGACCUUAUAUACCUGUCAGAUAUGUGACUUGUCUAGAAGAAAUUUACAGGUACUGAAGAAACAUCUCGUAAAGGGCCACACAUGCUCUGAAGAUAGAUAUAGGUGCAUAGAGGUUACUAAUAAAAAUUUCAUUGAUCCAAAGGAUGUUUUGCCAUAUCGAGUCGGAGACGUAAAGGAAAGGGAAGAAGCAAAACAAACGAGGGAAAAGUUGAGGAAAGGAAAAGAAAAGCUACGGAAGAGGCGCAGGAAACACGAAAACGAUAUGUGGAGUCGGGAAAGAAACCAAAAGUAGAGGACAAACACUAUAAUUCGAGGGACGAACAUUUAAAGUUUAAGUUCGACAAGAUACUUUGACAAGGACAGUAAUGAAAGCAAAGAAACAUUGACAUUAAAUGACCAAUUUUUGUUUAUAUUGCUUAUAUACAUUUAUGGAAUAUUUU